GAUUUUAACUAAAAAAGUCAUGAACAGCAAAGUUGUAUAACUCAUCAAGAUCUAUAACUUUUAUUUUUAUCAUUUCUUCAUCCGAUAAAGUGUUAGUAACAUUGUUAACAAAAUUCACAUAUCUGAAUAAUGUUACUAUCACUUUAUCGGAUAAAGAAAUGACCAAAAUAAAAGUUAUAGAACUUGAUGAGUAUACAACUUUGUUGUUGAUAACUUUUUCAGUUGAAAUC
rnacentral:pre_miRNA from 1 species